rnacentral:rRNA from 1 species
UACGGGGGGGGCAAGCGUUGUUCGGAAUUACUGGGCGUAAAGGGCUCGUAGGCGGCCAACUAAGUCAGACGUGAAAUCCCUCGGCUUAACCGGGGAACUGCGUCUGAUACUGGAUGGCUUGAGGUUGGGAGAGGGAUGCGGAAUUCCAGGUGUAGCGGUGAAAUGCGCAGAUAUCAGGAAGAACACCCGUGGCGAAGGCGGCUCUCUGGGACGGUACUGACGCUGAGACGCGAAAGCGUGGGGAGCGAACAGG